GAUGCUCCACAUAGCUUCUUGUGGUGAUUUUUGGUUGAAACUAAGAUGAGGUAUGUGGUAAACAUAAAAAAAAUUAUUAAAAAAAGAAAAAAUUUUGAGUGGCAAAAGUUGCUAUAAGGGUGGUAAGAUUUUUAGCAAGUGUUGCUUGAGUGCCCUAGGAUUUGAUUUUUCUAUGUGUUAGAGCUAAAAAUUAAAUUCUAAAUUAUAUGACAUCUAAGAGUGUCUUCUUGGUGUCAUUCUGAUGGUGAGAUCAAAAGUAACUGGGCUUUGGCG
rnacentral:lncRNA from 1 species